rnacentral:rRNA from 1 species
CCUACGGGAGGCAGCAGUGAGGAAUCUUCCACAAUGGGGGCAACCCUGAUGGAGCAACGCCGCGUGCGGGAUGAAGGCCUUCGGGUUGUAAACUGCUUUUAUAAGUGAGGAAUAUGACGGUAGCUUAUGAAUAAGGAUCGGCUAACUACGUGCCAGCAGCCGCGGUCAUACGUAGGAUCCGAGCGUUAUCCGGAGUGACUGGGCGUAAAGAGUUGCGUAGGCGGUUUGUUAAGUGAAUAGUGAAAUCUGGUGGCUCAACCAUACAGGCUAUUAUUCAAACUGGCAAACUCGAGAGUGGUAGAGGUCACUGGAAUUUCUUGUGUAGGAGUGAAAUCCGUAGAUAUAAGAAGGAACACCGAUGGCGUAGGCAGGUGACUGGACCAUUUCUGACGCUAAGGCACGAAAGCGUGGGGAGCGAACAGGAUUAGAUACCCGGGUAGUCCACGCCGUAAACGAUGGAUACUAGCUGUUGGAGGUAUCGACCCCUUCAGUAGCGAAGCUAACGCGUUAAGUAUCCCGCCUGUGGAGUACGGCCGCAAGGCUAAAACAUAAAGGAAUUGACGGGGACCCGCACAAGCGGUGGAUCGUGUUCUUUAAUUCGAUGCUAAACGAAGAACCUUACCAGGGCUUGACAUCCAGGGAAUUUUUGGGAAACCAAUUAGUGCCUUUUGGAACCCUGUGACAGGUGAUGCAUGGCCGUCGUCAGCUCGUGUCGUGAGAUGUUAGGUUAAGUCCUUCAACGAGCGCAACCCUUGUGAAUAGUUGUAUUUUUCUAUUCAGACUGCCCCGGUAACGGGGAGGAAGGAGGGGAUGAUGUCAGGUCAGUAUUUCCCUUACGUCCUGGGCUAGAAACACGAUACAAUGGCUAGUACAAUGCGCAGCAAAGCCGCGAGGUGGAGCAAAUCGCAUCAAAGCUAGUCCCAGUUCGGAUUGGAGGCUGAAACUCGCCUCCAUGAAGUCGGAAUCGCUAGUAAUCGCAGAUCAGCAAGCUGCGGUGAAUACGUUCCCGGGUCUUGUACACACCGCCCGUCAAACCAUGAAAGUGACCAACACCCGAAGUCCGAUUCGUCGGCCUAAGGUGGGGGGCAUGAUUGGGGUUAAGUCGUAACAAGGUAUCCGUACCGGAAGGUGCGGAUG